rnacentral:rRNA from 1 species
GAUGAACGCUGGCGGCGUGCCUAAUACAUGCAAGUCGAGCGAACAGAUAAGGAGCUUGCUCCUUUGACGUUAGCGGCGGACGGGUGAGUAACACGUGGGUAACCUAUCUAUAAGACUGUAAUAACUCCGGGAAACCGGGGCUAAUGCCGGAUAACAUGUUGAACCGCAUGGUUCUACAGUGAAAGGCGGCUUUGCUGUCACUUAUAGAUGGACCCGCGCCGUAUUAGCUAGUUGGUGAGGUAACGGCUCACCAAGGCAACGAUACGUAGCCGACCUGAGAGGGUGAUCGGCCACACUGGAACUGAGACACGGUCCAGACUCCUACGGGAGGCAGCAGUAGGGAAUCUUCCGCAAUGGGCGAAAGCCUGACGGAGCAACGCCGCGUGAGUGAUGAAGGUCUUCGGAUCGUAAAACUCUGUUAUUAGGGAAGAACAAAUGCGUAAGUAACUGUGCGCGUCUUGACGGUACCUAAUCAGAAAGCCACGGCUAACUACGUG